AACGAACGCUGGCGGCAUGCCUAACACAUGCAAGUCGAACGAGAUCCUUCGGGGUCUAGUGGCGCACGGGUGCGUAACGCGUGGGAAUCUGCCCUUAGGUUCGGAAUAACAGUUAGAAAUGACUGCUAAUACCGGAUGAUGACGUUAAGUCCAAAGAUUUAUCGCCUGAGGAUGAGCCCGCGUAGGAUUAGCUAGUUGGUGUGGUAAAGGCGCACCAAGGCGACGAUCCUUAGCUGGUCUGAGAGGAUGAUCAGCCACACUGGGACUGAGACACGGCCCAGACUCCUACGGGAGGCAGCAGUGGGGGAUAUUGGACAAUGGGCGCAAGCCUGAUCCAGCAAUGCCGCGUGAGUGAUGAAGGCCUUAGAGUUGUAAAGCUCUUUUACUCGGGAUGAUAAUGACAGUACCGGGAGAAUAAGCCCCGGCUAACUCCGUG
rnacentral:rRNA from 1 species